GACCGCGACCCCAGGUCAGGCGGGACUACCCGCUUGAGUUAAGC
rnacentral:rRNA from 1 species